rnacentral:rRNA from 1 species
UACGUAGGGCGCAAGCGUUAUCCGGAAUUAUUGGGCGUAAAGAGCUCGUAGGUGGUUUGUCGCGUUGUUCGUGAAAACUCACAGCUCAACUGUGGGCGUGCGGGCGAUACGGGCAGACUGGAGUACUGCAGGGGAGACUGGAAUUCCUGGUGUAGCGGUGGAAUGCGCAGAUAUCAGGAGGAACACCGGUGGCGAAGGCGGGUCUCUGGGCAGUAACUGACGCUGAGGAGCGAAAGCGUGGGGAGCAAACAGG